rnacentral:tRNA from 3 species
GUUAUUUUGGCAGAUUAGUGCAUUGAAUUUAGAAUUCACUUAAGUAUUUUAUACAUAUAACA